rnacentral:lncRNA from 1 species
CUUAUUUGAUAUAUGAGAAUAUAUAGAGAUUGUACCUUCGUUUUUUCGUUGGGAAACACAUGUCAAUAGAAGAUGUCUGUAAAAGUACACAUAACCAAAUAGUAAUGAAUAUUUGUUUAAGUUUUGUCCAAAUACAGUUAAUAUGCAAAUCUAGAGAACUGAUAUAAAUUCUCCCUUAAAAUAUGGAGAGAAAAAAAAAGCUAUCAGCUAAUGUUAACAAAACCAAAUUGGUAGUAACACCACCUAAUUAUGAGUGACGAAACUAGUUUUGGCUACCAUCACCUAAUUAUGGAUUCAAUUUAUCGAUAAACCAAUAAAAAAUAAUAUAUUUGAUUUAUCGAUAA